rnacentral:rRNA from 1 species
AGUGGAUGGGGAGCAACCUAGUUGUGCGUGUGUAAAGGUAGUGCCAAGAAAAGCGAUGAUCAUGUUGAAAAUCAAUUCCCGGUACCCGAAACCGACACAGGUGGGCAAGUAGAGAAUACUAAGGGGCGCGAGGUAACUCUCUCCAAGGAACUCGGCAAAAUGACCCCGUAACUUAGGGAGAAGGGGUGCCACCGAGAGGUGGUCGCAGUGAAGAGGCCCAGGCGACUGUUUAGCAAAAACAUAGGUCUCUGCAAACUCGAAAGAGGAGGUAUAGGGGCUGACGCCUGCCCAGUGCCGGAAGGUUAAAGAAGUUGGUCAGUUUUAGGAUGAAGCUAGCGACUGAAGCCCCGGUGAACGGCGGCCGUAACUAUAACGGUCCUAAGGUAGCGAAAUUCCUUGUCGGGUAAGUUCCGACCCGCACGAAAGGCGUAACGAUCUGGGCGCUGUCUCGGAGAGAGGCUCGGCGAAAUAGGAUUGUCUGUGAAGAUACGGACUACCUGCAUUUGGACAGAAAGACCCUAUGAAGCUUUACUAUAGCUUGGAAUUGUGUUCGGGCUUCCUGUGCGCAGGAUAGGUGGGAGGCGUAGAAGGUAUUCUUGUGGGGAUACUGGAGCCAACGGUGAGAUACCACUCUCAGGAGGCUAGAAUUCUAACUUAAUUAAGGACAGUUUCAGGUGGGUAGUUUGACUGGGCGGUCGCCUCCAAAAAGGUAACGGAGGCGUACAAAGGUUCCCUCAGACUGGUUGGAAAUCAGUCGAAGAGUGCAAAGGCAGAAGGGAGCUUGACUGCGAGAAGUACAGUUCGAGCAGGGUGGAAACACGGUCUUAGUGAUCCGACGGUGCUGUGUGGAAGGGCCGUCGCUCAACGGAUAAAAGUUACUCUAAGGAUAACAGGCUGAUCUCCCCCAAGAGUUCACAUCGACGGGGAGGUUUGGCACCUCGAUGUCGGCUCAUCGCAACCUGGGGCGGAAGUACGUCCCAAGGGUUGGGCUGUUCGCCCAUUAAAGCGGUACGUGAGCUGGGUUCAGAACGUCGUGAGACAGUUCGGUCCAUAUCCGAUGUAGGCGUGAGAAUAUUGAGAGGAGCCUUCCUUAGUACGAGAGGACCGGGAAGGACGCACCGCUGGUGUACCUGUUAUGAUGCCAAUUGUAAACGCAGGGUAGCCAAGUGCGGAGAGGAUAACCGCUGAAAGCAUCUAAGUGGGAAGCCCACCUCAAGAUGAGUAUUCUGGUGUAAGGUCACGGGAAGACGACCCGUAAAUAGGCACGAGGUGGAAGUGCAGAGAUGUAUGAAGCCGAAGUGUACUAAUAGACCGUCGGCUUGACCG